rnacentral:rRNA from 1 species
UACGAAGGGGGCUAGCGUUGCUCGGAAUCACUGGGCGUAAAGCGCACGUAGGCGGGUCGUUAAGUCAGGGGUGAAAUCCUGGAGCUCAACUCCAGAACUGCCCUUGAUACUGGCGAUCUCGAGUCCGGGAGAGGUGAGUGGAACUGCGAGUGUAGAGGUGAAAUUCGUAGAUAUUCGCAAGAACACCAGUGGCGAAGGCGGCUCACUGGCCCGGUACUGACGCUGAGGUGCGAAAGCGUGGGAGCAACAGGG